CAAACUUGUUUCUGUAGCUGCCCACUUCCAGCACUCUCUUUCUUCUAUGUCUCAUUGUUGUACACUGACAAGUUGUGUGCUCUGAUUCCUCCCACUCUCUACGUGUUCUCCUGAGGUUUAUGUUGUUUAAUAGCUUGUAAUUGGAGUUUUCUAAAACCCACUUAUCAGACAAUUUUUGUGGAGCAGACAUUCAUGUCAUGUCGAUCCAUUGUAAGGGUUCUAGUAGAUCUUCAUAGAAGACAGAGAAAACUUGUGGAAACAAUAAGGAAAAAGAACUUGUGACGUCUUACCUGACUUCUUUCAACACUGCUGCAUGUUAUUUGUGUCGUGCAUUUCUAAAAAUUGUCUUGAAUUGUGGGGGUAGUUGAUGUAUUGAGGUUUAGGUUUUAUUCAAACUUUAAUGGCAUCAAUGCUAGCUUUCCAUCUCUAUCUAUACAUCCUACUAUUCUUGAAUCAUUAUAUGUUUAACUUCAACUGAUAACGAUUUUGAUACUCUUAAACAGGAUUGCCAAAAGCCCAGCAGUUAUUGCUUCAACCUCAGGAAAGGCAAUAUCUACUCAGUCAAGUUAAUGCAGUGAAAGGUGAUAAUUGAAGAACAUCUUUUCUUUCCAACAGCUGAUCUUUAUUCUAUUUAGAAUUUGUGCAUAAGGGAGCCUUUGAUUGGAAAUUGUACUAUUCAUUCAGUCUAAGACAGGUCUUGUUAAAUAGUUUUGAUACGAUAUUGAGUUUUCUUUAGUACGUUUCAUGUGGCAGAAUUUUUGUCUGGCGUUUCAACAUAAUACAGUCGUAUAACCAUGUGGGGGUAGGGUUAUAGUUAUCAUUAGCAUGAUUAUUUCCUGACUCUGACUUCUCCAAAAUAAAGGAUUUUCCCAGUUUUUUCUUUCUUUUUUAUACUCGAUUAAGAUUUACUGAAAUAGGUUUGCCAUGAAACUUCUAACACACAUACGAUGAAUUGUAGAAGAACUCUGAUCAAAGAGGAAAAGGCUGUUAAAGAAAGAUAUUGC
rnacentral:lncRNA from 1 species